UACGUAGGGUGCAAGCGUUGUCCGGAAUUAUUGGGCGUAAAGAGCUCGUAGGCGGUUUGUCACGUCGGAUGUGAAAACCCGAGGCUUAACCUCGGGCCUGCAUUCGAUACGGGCUGACUAGAGUUCGGUAGGGGAGACUGGAAUUCCUGGUGUAGCGGUGAAAUGCGUAGAGCUCGGGAAGAACAUCGGUGGCGAAAGCGCUCUACUGGACUGCAACUGACACUCAGGGACGAAAGCUAGGGGAGCGAAUGGG
rnacentral:rRNA from 1 species